CCGGACCUGACUGCUAUCGGAUUGGUACUAAGCCAUGCGAGUCAUUGUAGCAAUACAAGGCGGACGGCUCAGUAACACGUAGUCAACCUAACUCGUGGACGUGGAUAACCUCGGGAAACUGAGAAUAAACCACGAUAGAUCAUAGUGCCUGGAAUGGCUUAUGGUCCAAACAGUUUACUGCCAUGGGAUGGGACUGCGGCCUAUCAGCUUGUUGGUGAGGUAAUGGCCCACCAAGGCGAUUACAGGUACGGGCUCUGAGAGGAGAAGCCCGGAGAUGGGUACUGAGACACGGACCCAGGCCCUAUGGGGCGCAGCAGGCGAGAAACCUUAGCAAUGUGCGAAAGCACGACUGGGUCAGUCCGAGUGAUUCCUGAUAAAGGAGUCUUUUGCCUGUCCUAAAAACACAGGUGAAUAAGGGGUGGGCAAGUCUGGUGUCAGCCGCCGCGGUAAUACCAGCACCUCGAGUGGUCAGGACGUUUAUUGGGCCUAAAGCAUCCGUAGCCGGCUUUGCAAGUCUCCGGUUAAAUCCACCUGCUCAACAGAUGGGCCGCUGGAGAUACUACAGAGCUAGGGAGUGGGAGAGGCAGACGGUAUUCAGUGGGUAGGGGUAAAAUCCUCUGAUCCAUUGAGGACCACCAGUGGCGAAGGCGGUCUGCCAGAACACGUUCGACGGUGAGGGAUGAAAGCUGGGGGAGCAAACCGGAUUAGAUACCCGGGUAGUCCCAGCUGUAAACGAUGCAAACUCGGUGAUGCAUUGGCUUAUGGCCAAUGCAGUGCCGCAGGGAAGCCGUUAAGUUUGCCGCCUGGGAAGUACGGACGCAAGUCUGAAACUUAAAGGAAUUGGCGGGGGAGCACCACAAGGGGUGAAGCCUGCGGUUCAAUUGGAUUCAACGCCGG
rnacentral:rRNA from 1 species